rnacentral:rRNA from 1 species
AACGAACGCUGGCGGCAUGCCUAAUACAUGCAAGUCGAACGAGAUCUUCGGAUCUAGUGGCGCACGGGUGCGUAACGCGUGGGAAUCUGCCCUUGGGUUCGGAAUAACUUCUGGAAACGGAAGCUAAUACCGGAUGAUGACGUAAGUCCAAAGAUUUAUCGCCCAAGGAUGAGCCCGCGUAGGAUUAGCUAGUUGGUGGGGUAAAGGCCCACCAAGGCGACGAUCCUUAGCUGGUCUGAGAGGAUGAUCGGCCACACUGGGACUGAGACACGGCCCAGACUCCUACGGGAGGCAGCAGUAGGGAAUAUUGGACAAUGGGCGAAAGCCUGAUCCAGCAAUGCCGCGUGAGUGAUGAAGGCCUUAGGGUUGUAAAGCUCUUUUACCCGGGAUGAUAAUGACAGUACCGGGAGAAUAAGCUCCGGCUAACUCCGUG